rnacentral:rRNA from 1 species
UACAGAGGGUGCGAGCGUUGUCCGGAAUCACUGGGCGUAAAGGGCGCGUAGGUGGUUGGAUAAGCGUGUGGUGAAAGCCCGGGGCUCAACCCCGGGUCGGCCAUGCGAACUGUCCGACUGGAGCACGGUAGAGGCCAAUGGAAUUCCGGGUGUAGCGGUGGAAUGCGUAGAGAUCCGGAAGAACACCGGUGGCGAAGGCGGUUGGCUGGGCCGUGGCUGACACUGAGGCGCGACAGCGUGGGGAGCAAACAGGG